rnacentral:lncRNA from 1 species
CAGGGGUGUGGAAAUGCUAUGCCCGACUUGCCCGACUCGUACAUUUGAACAACCGGACAAGUAAUUAUUUUUGUCUGGGUUGCCCGUGGACAAGUAAAAAAUAAUAAAAGACAAAUUUCAAAUGCAACAGAAAUAUAGAAUUAAUUUCAACAUGUUCAAAAUGUAUAAAGAUGUUAAAUUUAUGUAAAAGAAACCAAUGGUCAGCGAGUAAAAACACAAAUGUUCAUGACGAUAAAUAUUACAUAAUAGCGGAAAUAGAUCGAUUAACAAAAUAAAUAAAAAUAAGUAUGCGAACCCGAGUUGCGUAACAUUGCAUUGGUUUUGUCCAUUGACACGGGACCGUCGAUUAGGUUUUAUCCAUGAAGUGUCAUUUGUAUAUGAUUUUGUAUCGAGAUUCAGAUUGAUAAAUACUUUAUAAAACACCGGGCAAGUAAGACAAAAAGAAUAUUGAGUCGAGUAAAAAACCCAAAACGCAAAUGAAGGAUAAGGAGUAUUAAAAAAAAAUACGGAAGCGAAAAUUCCAGACAUCGUGAAUAUCAGAUUGCACCUGGCUAUCUAUAGGAUGGAAAUUCGGAAAAUAAAUAAAUCUUUUGUCUUUAUAUUUAUAGAUCAAUGGUCAACAUUAUUUGUUGUCAGAGUGGUAAAUAGAAGGGACGGUUUAAUUGCCCAUCAAGACAAUUAUAAAAAAAAACAAAAAAACAAGUGUGUCAGUUAAGAGAAACAGCAAAAAAGUCAAUAGUUUAUCCAUUAUUUAAUUUCCAUUUCUUCACUCAC